GCGAUUCCCAGCGUUCUCUGGGCGGCCCAGCCUUACUGGCGUUAGGGACGCGGACUGGGCGGAGCUUCGUUGGAAGGAAAUGGCGUAGGUGGGCCGCGCCAGGCGCCGGAUGAAAUAUGGAGUUAGAGGAACAGAUAAAAUGACCCUGAUGGAAGAAUCAGAUCCAGAAUGUGAGACAUUCCAUAAGAAAACGCCUAAAUUCUUCAAAAGGAUACUUACACCAGACAACCUGAGUAGCCGGGGAUAUAUGUACCCAAAUGUAAAGAGCAAAAAGGAGACAGUGAACACAACUUCUUUCCAGAAGC